ACUUUUAAUGAAUUCUGUGAUUGAUUUGUUUCGGCUUCCUCUGAUUUUGCCCUCUGUCACAAUAGCAGGAUGUCCCAAACUGGAGUUGCUCCAUCACCAUGGGUCUCAGAGUAGAAUAACAGAAUAGAAGCCAAACGGAGCAGACCCGUAGUCAACACAGGAGAGAAUUUAAAGGACUAUGGAGAAAACAAAACAAAACAAACAAACACAAGAAACUACGAGAUCUGAGAAAGUUGAGUCAUUGAUUUUUCUGUAAUUUGAAGUUCUGGAGUCUGGGAAGUCCAAAAUCAUGGUGCUGGAAGAUUCGGUGUCUCUUGAGGAGAGCCUGCUUCCUAGACUGCUGUCUUUUUGCUGUAACCUCAACAUGACAGAAAGAGCAAAGUUGCUUUCUCAAGCCUCUUUUAUAAGGCCACUAAUUCCUUUAUGAGGGCUCUGUCUUCAAGACCUAAUCACCUCCCAAAGGCCCCACCUCCAAAUACCAUCACAUUGGCAACUGAUUUUCAACAUACGGAUUUUGGGGGGCCAUAAACAUU